AACGUGAAAGCUUCAACGCCAUUUUGUUGUUAUCUAUGAUCCGCUCCUUACACUAUUGCGUAGAUAUUAAAGCGUCAAUUUGACAUUGUAUUGUAUUCAGUGUAUCCCUUUCAUUUUAAGAACUAAUAAAAGAGACGUGUUUAUUGAAUCCCGUUUUGAUUAUGCAUCAUGGUAAUUUUACCGCUAGAGAAUUACGUCCACCAGCACACAUGCAGAACAAAGUUCGAAAUGGCUAUAAUUGUUUGAUGUGUUAACUUAGUUUGUAAGUAUAAUAUUUCAGUCUUUAAAUAACGUUUUGCUUUUAUAAAGCCGUGUGAUUAAUUGUAAAUAUGAAUCUACAGUGUCCUGAGUGUUUGUUCUUGGUUCUGGAUUUAUAAUAAAGUUCGCAAGAAUCUAAAAAAGAACCUUGACGUGAUCUUAAAACAAAAUACUUGAAAAUUAUUGUAAAAGCGGACUAAAAGUUUAAGAUGAUUACGGAACAGAAAAUGGUUAUAAAAGCAAUACAUCCAAAGUGAAACAAUAAGUGCGAGAACUUGAAUGAUUUGUGCCUAAGCCGCGCCUUUUGAAUUGACAAAGUCAAAUCAAUGAAAACUAUCAUCACAUCGAAGUGUACUUAGCCUGAUUCAAAGACUCUACACCUGGUCUAACUACUUUCCAUGACUUCCCCACUAAUUCAGAACAGCAAAAGUUACUAGCUUCAAAUACCUUGUCGCACCUCAACUCUCCAUCCUGAAAUAUUUAAUCUGAGCAAAAACAUUGAGAAUCUGAUUUGUGUUAACAAUGAGCUGACAACAUCCUCUCCCAACACACUAACAACUUUGAGACAGCAACGCCUCUCCCCCAUACAAAAGUCAUAUGUGGAGUCCUAUAUGGAAAAACAAAUAAAAUGAGCCUGCCAACCUUUAAUUUAUGAAUCAUCAUUAGUAUCCAAUCGAGUUUCAAAUGAGGUAAAAUACUACAAAACCGCUGAUGCAGGGUAACAGGAUUACGGGCUGGAAAAAAUGCACCAAUCCAUUGUGAAUAAAAACACCUACAGAAGACUAAGAAGGUAUAGGCUGCCCUUGUUCCAUCAAACCUGUUUGGAAGUUGUAGUCACGUGACUUGUUAUGCUUUAAGUACCGCUACGAAUCAACCUGCACUAUCUUAUGACUAAAAAAUGUAGAGAAUGAAGAUCCUAGUACUUCAAGUUAAGCUUUAAAUACAUAGAGUAUGUAUCAACCUGCAAUUAUGAAGCAAAUUGUGACACUGACAGUAAGACCCAGAAGAUGAUGGCCACGCUUGCCCCUUCAAACCCUGUUUGAAAAACAAAUUUACUUACAUGUUUCAUCAGGCUUUCCUUCUACUAGCUGCUUGUAAAGUCUGCACUUCAUUUGACUGAAAAACUUAGUAAAUGACUACAGAUUCCUGACAACAAGCCCCUGCGGUUGUUUCGACACGUUUCCUGAACAAAAUUCUUUUGGAACAAAGUCCUAUUGAUGCAGACAAACACCUUUUGACCUAGAAUCUGUGAAGAGACGGAGUAGUCGCCGCGACGGAAAUGAAGAUAAAUAGAUUACAGUAUUUCUAGAAGAGAAAUUAGCAACACAAAUACUAUUUAUGAUCCCAAUAUGACAAAUGAAAGCCGUAACUCCGAGCGUCCUACACACUUGUCAAGAUAAUUCAACUUGAGUAAACUAGGAAAGGUAAAACUGAAAUGAAACGAGCCCAUAAGAUCACAGAAGAUAGCAUGGCAUGGCGCGAGUUCGUGCAGACACCCUAGAAGUGUCCUGGGACCAACAUCAUGUAUUAUGUUGUCAAUCAAAAAGAAAGUCUAUCUACAAUCUCUCCUGUUCUCUAGUCUAAUCAACCUGAGGUCUGCUGUCCGAUACCAUAACAAAUAAUCAGACUACAAGCUGUUUAAGAAGAUUUCACUAAUUAAGCUAUGCAUUUGACUCCAUGUGUAAUAUACAUGUAAUAUGUGACAGAAAUUUGUUACUUGGUCAAUAAUAAAGGAAAUAUUCCGCUUUAUUUCA